CACCGUCACCGCCAAUGCUGACGUGUUGUAGCCAUGCGCAGGAUUGGCCAACACGUCAGCAUUGGCGGUGACGGUGG
rnacentral:pre_miRNA from 1 species